GCGCAGGCGCCGGUGCGCGGGGGGGACCAGGAGCCUCCAUUUUCCCUCGCACGCGCUAAUGGCGCAGCUGGGCCCUCUUCCUCUGGCGGGGGUGAAAACUCGCCUCCGGGGAAGCCCGAGGCGCUCGCUCCCCAAACUCUUUCGUCGGUGCGCGUGCUUAAAGCGGGCGGAUGAAGCGUUCUUGAAAAUGGAUGCAAAUGCAUGGGAUAGGCCCCUGACAUGUGAGACCUUGAAACCCAGAAGCCCAGAAUACUAGGGCCAGCUUUCUGGUUAAGUCUGCGUUGGACAUUUUAGACUUUCUAGAGUUUAGACAGAGUUUCGCUCGUCGCCCAGGCUGGAGUGCAGUGGCCCUAUCUCCGCUCACUGCAACCUCCACCUCCCGGAUUCAAGUGAUUCUCCUGCCUCAGCCUCCCAAGUAGCUGGGAUUACAG